AUCAGAUACCGCCCUAGUUCUGACCGUAAACGAUGCCAACUAGCGAUCCGCCAGUCGACUCAUCGCUCUGGUGGGGAGCUUCCCGGAAACGAAAGUCUUCCGGUUCCGGGGGAAGUAUGGUUGCAAAGCUGAAACUUAAAGGAAUUGACGGAAGGGCACCACCAGGAGUGGAGCCUGCGGCUUAAUUUGACUCAACACGGGGAAACUCACCCGGCCCGGACACCGUAAGGAUUGACAGAUUGAUAGCUUUUUCAUGAUUCGGUGGAUGGUGGUGCAUGGCCGUUCUUAGUUCGUGGAGCGAUUUGUCUGGUUUAUUCCGAUAACGAGCGAGACUCUGGCCUACUAAAUAGUUGACGCAUUGCCACUGUGCGCACAACUUCUUAGAGGGAUUUUCGAUGUUUUCAACCGCACGAAAUUGAGCAAUAACAGGUCUGUGAUGCCCUUAGAUGUCCGGGGCUGCACGCGCGCUACACUGGCAAACGCAACGUGCCUGUCCUGCCCCGAAAGGAGCGGGUAAACCCCUGAAAUUUUGCCGUGAUUGGGAUCGGACAUUGCAACUAUUGUCCGUGAACGAGGAAUUCCUUGUAGGGGCGAGUCAUCAACUCGUCCCGAAUACGUCCCUGCCCUUUGUA
rnacentral:rRNA from 1 species